rnacentral:rRNA from 1 species
UAGGGAAUAUUAGUAAUGGGCGAAAGCCUGAACUAGCAACGCCGCGUGUGCGAAGAAGGCCUUCGGGUUGUAAAGCACUUUUUGAGAGGAUGAGGAAGGACGGUACUCUCAGAAUAAGUCUCGGCUAACUACGUGCAGCAGCCGCGGUAACACGUAGGAGGCGAACGCUAUCCGGAUUUACUGGGCGUAAAGCGCGUGUAGGUGGUUUGGUAAGUAGGGCGUGAAAGCUCCUGGCUCAACUGGGAGAAGCCAUUCUAAACUGCCGAACUAGAGGAUGGUAGAGGGAGGUGAAUUCCGGGUGUAGCGGUGGAAUGCGCAGAUAUCCGGAGGAACACCAGUGGCGAAAGCGGCCUCCUGGACCAUUCCUGACACUCAGACGCGAAAGCUAGGGUAGCAAACGG